GACGGGGGCCCGCACAAGCGGUGGAGCAUGUGGUUUAAUUCGAAGCAACGCGAAGAACCUUACCAGGUCUUGACAUCCUUUGACCACUCUAGAGAUAGAGCUUUCCCUUCGGGGACAAAGUGACAGGUGGUGCAUGGUUGUCGUCAGCUCGUGUCGUGAGAUGUUGGGUUAAGUCCCGCAACGAGCGCAACCCUUAUUGUUAGUUGCCAUCAUUUAGUUGGGCACUCUAGCGAGACUGCCGGUGACAAACCGGAGGAAGGUGGGGAUGACGUCAAAUCAUCAUGCCCCUUAUGACCUGGGCUACACACGUGCUACAAUGGGAAGUACAACGAGUCGCUAGACCGCGAGGUCAUGCAAAUCUCUUAAAGCUUCUCUCAGUUCGGAUUGCAGGCUGCAACUCGCCUGCAUGAAGCCGGAAUCGCUAGUAAUCGCGGAUCAGCACGCCGCGGUGAAUACGUUCCCGGGCCUUGUACACACCGCCCGUCACACCACGAGAGUUUGUAACACCCGAAGUCGGUGAGGUAACCUUUUUGGAGCCAGCCGCCUAAGGUGGGAUA
rnacentral:rRNA from 1 species